rnacentral:ncRNA from 2 species
AUAAAUUGCCACCAAACAGGUGCCUCUUUAACUAGAGGAGAAUAGGGAAGUUCGGAAGGGAAGCAUAUUCCUUAAACGACGCGGUCGCGCCACUGUAAUCGGGGAGAAAGUCCUGCAAAUGCCACUGGGAAACCAGGAAGGCGCAGGAAUUUUAAAGAUCCGUAAGUCAGGAGACCUGCCUGUUAUGGCUGUCAUCU